CAAUCAAAAGAUGGAAUUU
rnacentral:miRNA from 1 species